UGAACCCUUAGGACACAGGGGUCAGGGGUCACGGUUAGUUCAGAGAAGCCUACCGUUAACUCCGGAAUGCCGUGGCUAAUUAUACUUACCGCCUUCUCCCAGCGCCAGGCGCAUCUCGUAGGCGUUCAUGCAUCUGGAUUUAUCCAGAUCAAACUCACGGAAGAUUCCCUGCCACGUCACAAGAUUCAGAUAAACAUGGGGGCGCUAAUGCUAAUGCUCGCUAGCUAAAUUUUCUAAUUCGCUAGCGUUUCUAAUGCGUUCUGCCCAUGUGGCAAAGCACCAAACCAGAAUGCCUUGCGAGAAUUGCGCUACUUGCUGCCAAAUGCUAACAUUAGCCUAGCUUUGACGCUUACAAGAAGCAGCGGCUAAAUUCCUUUCUGAACAUUUUUUAGGUGAGAAAACAACAGUGGAUUUUAAAUAUUGAUAACAACUACAAAAAACAGGAAAUAUGUAAUGUAAUGUAACUAGAAUCUUUCCUUCUGACCACGGGAACGAAAAGCUAACUAUGCUAUAAUUAGCUUCUUACUUCACACUUCAAACAACUUCAAAGUUCAUGAGUGAAGAUUAUCUGGAUAAAACCUAGAAGAAUCAUAGCAAUCCACCUGUUGGGCCACAAGUUGUAGUUCUCAGUAAGGUUCCUCCCCUGAACUCACCAGCCACUUCCGGAUCUUGUUCCACAGAACCUGGAACUCCAGGAGGCCGAGUCGAGCGCUGCCAUCUUUCUGAGCACGAGUCAAGAAGAAGACGUGAGGAUGAAUAAAGAACACCUUGUUUAAACAAUGCCAUAAAACCCAUCAGAACCAUCAGACCCAUCAGACCCAUCAGCGGUGUAAGGAUACGUCCAUGAGGCUAACCAUGGCUCUGCAGGACUCCAUACUGAAACCAUCCGUCUGAAGAUCUCCGUCUGUGAACAACCACAAGAGAAGGAGAGAUGAACUCACGUCUCCAGACAGCUGAGCGAACAUGGACCGAAAGGACUCGUCCACGUCGUUCACCAAGACCUCCUCCUUCAGAGAAGAAUGGCGAGAAGGUCAAAGUUCAUCGCAGCGCAAAAUCAAGAAGCAAUUAAUAGCGUUAAUAAACAAUGUAUCCAAAGAAGGUUUAUCCACCAGAUGUUCAGACCGAAGGUGUAAAUCCAUAUAGAAGACCUCCUUGCUCACCUCUUGCUCAAAGGUUGCCUCCACGUUGUCGUCCAUCUCCCUGUAGAGACCCACACGGCGUUACCAGCACAUAAUUAACACUUCAAUACUAGAAAUCAGUAACAUCGACAA